CAAAUCAAUUCUUUCAGCUGCUCAUUAAGAAGGGACUUAAGAUUACGUUCUUAAUGUUGUAUUAGUUACGAUGUCUUUAAUGGUAAUUUGAUGUUAUUAAGGCGUGCAUAUAAUUUGUCUCAAAUCUUAAAUAUGAUUGUUAUUGAAAAGUUGUACAU
rnacentral:pre_miRNA from 1 species